ACGGGAGCAGCAGUGAGGAAUAUUGGUCAAUGGGCGGAAGCCUGAACCAGCCAAGUCGCGUGAAGGAUGAAGGUAUUAUGUAUUGUAAACUUCUUUAGCAGUGGAGUAAUAAGGGGGAUGCAUCCCCUGAUGCAAGUACACUGAGAAUAAGGAUCGGCUAACUCCGUGCCAGCAGCCGCGGUAAUACGGAGGAUCCGAGCGUUAUCCGGAUUUAUUGGGUUUAAAGGGUGCGCAGGCGGCCAUUUAAGUCAGCGGUCAAAUCGUGAGGCUCAACCUCAUCCCGCCGUUGAUACUGGAUGGCUUGAUUGCGGUCGAGGUAGGCGGAAUUCGUCGUGUAGCGGUGAAAUGCAUAGAUAUGACGAAGAACACCGAUUGCGUAGGCAGCUUACCAGGCCGUAAAUGACGCUCAUGCACGAAAGUGCGGGGAUCGAACAGGAUUAGAUACCCUGGUA
rnacentral:rRNA from 1 species